rnacentral:rRNA from 1 species
UGGGUAGGGGAGCGUUCUGUAAGCCUGCGAAGGUGGCCUGUGAGGGUUGCUGGAGGUAUCAGAAGUGCGAAUGCUGACAUAAGUAACGAUAAAGCGGGUGAAAAGCCCGCUCGCCGGAAGACCAAGGGUUCCUGUCCAACGUUAAUCGGGGCAGGGUGAGUCGACCCCUAAGGCGAGGCCGAAAGGCGUAGUCGAUGGGAAACGGGUUAAUAUUCCCGUACUUGGUGUUACUGCGAAGGGGGGACGGAGAAGGCUAUGUUGGCCGGGCGACGGUUGUCCCGGUUUAAGCGUGUAGGUGUGUGUUCCAGGUAAAUCCGGUUCACUUUAACACUGAGGCGUGAUGACGAGGCACUACGGUGCUGAAGCAACAAAUGCCCUGCUUCCAGGAAAAGCCUCUAAGCAUCAGGUAACAUCAAAUCGUACCCCAAACCGACACAGGUGGUCAGGUAGAGAAUACCAAGGCGCUUGAGAGAACUCGGGUGAAGGAACUAGGCAAAAUGGUGCCGUAACUUCGGGAGAAGGCACGCUGACACGUAGGUGAAGUGAUUUACUCAUGGAGCUGAAGUCAGUCGAAGAUACCAGCUGGCUGCAACUGUUUAUUAAAAACACAGCACUGUGCAAACACGAAAGUGGACGUAUACGGUGUGACGCCUGCCCGGUGCCGGAAGGUUAAUUGAUGGGGUCAGCGCAAGCGAAGCUCCUGAUCGAAGCCCCGGUAAACGGCGGCCGUAACUAUAACGGUCCUAAGGUAGCGAAAUUCCUUGUCGGGUAAGUUCCGACCUGCACGAAUGGCGUAAUGAUGGCCAGGCUGUCUCCACCCGAGACUCAGUGAAAUUGAACUCGCUGUGAAGAUGCAGUGUACCCGCGGCAAGACGGAAAGACCCCGUGAACCUUUACUAUAGCUUGACACUGAACAUUGAGCCUUGAUGUGUAGGAUAGGUGGGAGGCUUUGAAGCGUGGACGCCAGUCUGCGUGGAGCCGACCUUGAAAUACCACCCUUUAAUGUUUGAUGUUCUAACGUGGACCCGUAAUCCGGGUUGCGGACAGUGUCUGGUGGGUAGUUUGACUGGGGCGGUCUCCUCCUAAAGAGUAACGGAGGAGCACGAAGGUUGGCUAAUCCUGGUCGGACAUCAGGAGGUUAGUGCAAUGGCAUAAGCCAGCUUGACUGCGAGCGUGACGGCGCGAGCAGGUGCGAAAGCAGGUCAUAGUGAUCCGGUGGUUCUGAAUGGAAGGGCCAUCGCUCAACGGAUAAAAGGUACUCCGGGGAUAACAGGCUGAUACCGCCCAAGAGUUCAUAUCGACGGCGGUGUUUGGCACCUCGAUGUCGGCUCAUCACAUCCUGGGGCUGAAGUAGGUCCCAAGGGUAUGGCUGUUCGCCAUUUAAAGUGGUACGCGAGCUGGGUUUAGAACGUCGUGAGACAGUUCGGUCCCUAUCUGCCGUGGGCGCUGGAGAACUGAGGGGGGCUGCUCCUAGUACGAGAGGACCGGAGUGGACGCAUCACUGGUGUUCGGGUUGUCAUGCCAAUGGCACUGCCCGGUAGCUAAAUGCGGAAGAGAUAAGUGCUGAAAGCAUCUAAGCACGAAACUUGCCCCGAGAUGAGUUCUCCCUGAGACUUAGAGUCUCCUGAAGGAACGUUGAAGACGACGACGUUGAUAGGCCGGGUGUGUAAGCGCAGCGAUGCGUUGAGCUAACCGGUACUAAUGAACCGUGAGGCUUAACCUUACAA